AUGAAAACCAGAUCGAAGAGAAUAAGGAAAAGAAGAGAGUUGCAAGAUCCUUCAACAUCGACACUGCGAAUUCACUCUGCAAUCUAUCUCCGCCACUGUUGCAUCUCGACGAGAACGCUCCGUCAACCUCUGCGAACACCGCGGAUCUACUCGCCGGACCCCACUCCUCCGGAAUCACCCUUUACGGCCGCCGCCCAUCAGAACGCGACCACCAGCCAUCGCCACGCCGCGACCAACACCACCCAGAUCUUCCGUACUCGCCGCUCAGCCGUCAUCGUCGCCUUGUAG